rnacentral:rRNA from 1 species
GGAUUUUCUUAGUAGCGGCGAGCGAAAAGAAAUCAGUUCAGCACUAAGUCACUUUGUCUUUAUGGCAAAUGUGAGAUGCAGUGUAUGGAAUGUCAAAUUUCUAGUAUGAGAAAUUAACGAUUUAAGUCCUUCUUAAAUGAGGCCAUUUACCCAUAGAGGGUGCCAGGCCCGUAUAACGUUAAUGAUUACUAGAUGGCAUUUCCAAAGAGUCGUGUUGCUUGAUAGUGCAGCACUAAGUGGGUGGUAAACUCCAUCUAAAACUAAAUAUAACCAUGAGACCGAUAGUAAACAAGUACCGUGAGGGAAAGUUGAAAAGAACUCUGAAUAGAGAGUUAAAUAGUACGUGAAACUGCUUAGAGGUUAAGCCCGAUGAACCUGAAUAUCCAUUAUAGAAAAUUCAUCAUUAUGAUUUUAAUAUUUAUAAUAUUAUAAUAAUAGUGUGCAUUUUUUCUGUAACGGACAUUGUAAUCUAUUAACAUAUAUAUAUUUAUCAAAAGAUCAAUGAUGCGUAAGUUUAUUCAAAUUAUUUUGCUUGCAAUUUAACAUAGAAUAAAUGCUCUUGAUUUGAUAAAGUGUUGAUAGAUUUAUUGUAUAUAGUGCUUAAAUAUUUAUAUUUUAUAAUAGCAUAUUAAUCAUUGAUUUUUAUGUUUAUUAUAUGCACUUAUAUGAUUAACAAUGCGAAAGAUUCAGGAUACCUUCGGGACCCGUCUUG